CCUCAAAGAGUUUUAAAAGGUUGGGUAAAUAUUAUCCCCAUUUUACAGGUGGAGGGACUGAGGUUAAGGCCCAAAUUCAGGCCCCAGCAUGUACAAUUCACCCCUGUGAAGGACAGCUUGAAGGCUAUGCACCAGAUGACUCCCAAUUAAGCCCUAUUUUGAUGUAAUAAUUGGCAUAUAGGAUUUAUGCUGACUCUCUGCACAGGAGUGAAAUUCACCUAGCCUAGGAAGCUGGGCUGUAUGUCAGGAGUGCCCCAGGUCAUGGAGCUGCUUCCCAUCUGCUAUUUCUUCAGGGAUGGAAUCUUUUCCUAUUAUCCCUGUACCUAUUAUCCCUGUACAUGGUGGAGUGGAAAUUGCCAACAGAUCCUCAUAAAAAGCAGUUCCCAUACCUUUUUCUUGUCCCCAAAUGCUUUUUGCAGAUAAUAGCGAUACAUCUCUCCACAAUUGUUUCUGUGGUACUGAAGUGUGCUGGAGUAAGACGGCAUGAGUGCUAGCUCCCCAGGGAGAGAGAGGACCUUCAUGAAAAUGAGAUGUGGAUCUUGUCAAGCUACUCAGCAUGUGCAAAAUUUUAUCUAGACAAGCCAUGGGUCUUUAUUCUGCAAGAUCUGAACCUUAUCAAGAGUUUAUCUUGAGGCAUCUGAAAAAGUGGGUUUUUUACCCACAAAAGCUUAUCCCCAAAUAAAUGUGUUAGUCUUUAA